UCCCCCACCUCCCCGGAUGGCGGCCGAUUGCAGACCAAGGAGCGACGGGGAAAAGUAAAGAGCAGCCAUACCUAUGGACGCCGUCCCCGGAAGAGGAAAAAGGAAGCGCUUGCAAGUUUAAAGGUUAACUGUGACUGCGUCGGACCGGAAAUUACGUCAGACCCAGCACCGCCGUGUUGUACGGACGCCACCCAGCUCCUUUCCAUGGGCGGGGAUGCCUGGCGCCGCCACGUUGUACGGCAGCUGAAGUGCCGCCCCUGCCUGCGGGCCUGGAUGCGCGUGAGCGAUCCACGGCAGCACCGCGCGAAGCCCUUGGGAGUCGUUGUAGAAACAAAUGCAACGAACAGAGGGAGCUCCGAAGAGCGGGAGUGGGACAAAGUCAAUUUUUUCCCUUCUAACCUAAAGAGCACCAGCUUGGUGUUGGGUAGUUUCCAAGUUCGGGCUAUCAUAAACAGCUGCUUCUACAGUACAAAUAUUUUGGUGAAGAAUUUUUGUUAAGGAGCCACAAGAGUUGAGGCAGAAAGGAUUUUCUCGCUAAGUGAGCCUUAGUGACAAAAAAUGUAGAGGAGAAGAUUUAUUCUGCUUGAGAAUGAAGAUCAACUGUGUCAUAUUCAUUUCUUAAUUUCUGGCUUCAUAUUUUCAAGGUCAUGCCUUCAACAACAAAGGUGCUGUUUUGCUGAUCAUUAUCCCAGUGAUCAAGUUUACAAGUUUCUCCAGGUUUGGAUAGCUAUGGACAAGGAGAACUGGAUCCAGGAAUCUGUUUCAUUAAUUUCCUUAUACUUCUGACAUUUUGUGCACAAUACAUACAUGAUUUUAAGGGUUCUCUUUUAGGGACCCUGGAGGAACUCCUUACACAGAAAAAGUAUUAAUGUAUUAAUAGACCAUGUCAGUUAUUUUUUCUAACAUGUUAUAAACUAGAAAGUUGAAUUUUCCAACUUAAAGAAAAUUGAAUAUUUUGAUCGUUAAGUCCCUUGAGUCCUAUACUUGGUUGGAGUUUUAUUUUCUCAUUCCUGAUCCAGUAUGAAGUUCUUUGUCUGCAAUUCAAUCUCUAUGGCUUUAAUCAUUUUGGACUGUACCAAUGGCUUCUCAGUAAUAAAAGAAAUGGGGAGCCAGGCUUGGCACGGGAGAAGUCUCUUCAGCUGGAGUAAGACAUUACAUAUGAAUUGUCUACCCACAAAAGGGCCCACUGUCAGCUUAAAUUAAUGAGCUACAUGUUUUAAUCAUUAAGGUAAUAGCAACAUGUGUAUUCUUUGCCUCUGUUUUAAUCAUUUCUGUUUCUACCAGCUAGAUCAUCAAAUGCUUUCUUUUGAGAAGUCUUCCCAUUUCAUUGUGGAGAACAGCUUCUAUGUGGGGCAGAAAUAAAUGCUUCAGAGUCCUAAGAAACACUAAAUAGCUUUAACAUCAGGUCUUAGUGAAAUUUAUAGCUACUGCUUUGUCCUUCAGUGCAGGAAUUUGGAGGGACACAUUCGUAGCCACCAUUAGGCAAUGGAACUAGCAUGGGCUCCAGCCUGCAAAGAGUUGAAGUGGAUGAGGUGAAUCAUAGGUCUCAGCAGCUGAUGUUGAAAUGGAUUAUUUUGUGGACCAUGGGCAGCAUUUAGAUGGGUUGAAAAAGACACUGCCGAUUAAGACAGUGGGGGCUCUGAAUGCUUUGCCUCAGCUGGAAAUUGCUUCAUGGAGACUUUCGAUUCAUAGGCUGAUAUCUGUUUGGCAAAUGUUGGCAAGGGGACAUGCUGUUCUCAGGACAGUCCAUGGUAAGUAGAUCAGCGCAUGGCUCUUAGACCUGAGAGACCAAAUAAAGCAGGUUUCAGAAAAGGACCUAUGAACUAAGCCCCAUUUGUAUUCUCUUCAGAUAUUAAGGCUGCCCAAGUGAAACGUAGAGCAUAGAUUCAAAAAGAGAAAAAAAAACAAUAUAUAAGUUAUUUUGUUUGGGUGAUGCCAAACACAUGGAUAAACUGAUUAACAAUGAAUUCACUAAGUUAAAACAAUCGUUUUGUGAACUCUGUAGAACUAUUGCACUAUUCAGUGUGUUACCACAAUAGUUGUUCAUAGCUUGGAUGUAGCUUUGUCAUAUAUGUGUUACAGUGAACGAUAUUCAACUGUGAGUUUAGGGGGCACAGCCAGUAACAUAUUUAUCUGUGUGUCUUCAGGUCUUUAAACCAGGUGAUGCUCCAUAAAAGAUUGUAGCACAGAACUGAGUGUUAAAAUAAAUAGAGCUUCUGUUUUCCUUUCUGGAAAUUGGAUGAAUCCAAGGGAUGUUCGGGAAGAUUUAGAAAUAUAAAAUGACAGGUUAGAAGGGGUUUCAAAGGUCAUGUACGUCCACACUUACUUGCAGAUGAGUCCAGAGAGGUCAGUUAUUUGAUCAAGAUCACUUGGUGGCAGAACUAGGAUAGAGGUGACUUAGUAUUUACCAGAAGCUGUUGUAGGCUGGGAAUGUGUUAGACCUGUACUGUCUAGUACGGUAGUGUGUUAGCCAGGGUUCUCCAGAGAAACAGAAACAAGAUUUAUUAUGAGGCAUUAACUCACACCAUUAUGGAGCCUGGGAAGUCUCACAGUCUACCAUCUGCAAGCUGGAGACUGAGGAAAGCUGGUGGUGUGAUUCACUUCAAAUCCAAAGGCCUGAGAACCAGGGGAACCUAUGGUGUAAAUCCCAGUCCAGCAAAAGAUGAGGACCCACCCAGCCCAGAAGUAAGGCAGGAAAAAAGAGAUGAAUUUCUCUUUCCUCUCCCUUUUGUUCUAUCCAGGCCCUCAACAGAUUGGUUGAUGUCUACCUGCAUUGGUGAAGGCAGUCUACUUUAUUGAGUGUGAUCAUUCAAAUGCUAAUGUCAUCCAGAAUCACUCUGACAGACACCCAGAAAUAGUGUGUAAUCUGGGCACCCAGUGGUGGGCCAAGGCCAAGGUGACAUUUAAAAUUUUCCAUCACAGUUACCUGCUAGCUUCUCAAGGACAGUGAGCACUUGAAAUGUGCUAAGAGAGGUACUGAAGUUCACAUUUUGGGGCACCUGGGUGACUCAGUGGUUGAGCGUCUGUCUUUGGCUCAGGGCGUAAUCCCGGUCCAGGGAUUGAGUACCACAUCGAGUCCCACAUCGAGUCCUGCAUCAGGCUCCCUGCAAGGAGCCUGUUUCUCUCUCUCUGUCUCUGUCUCUCUCUCUGUGUUUCUCAUGAAUAAAUGAAUAGAAUCUUUUUUUAAAAAAUGAAGUUCACAUUUUACUUAGUUCUACUUUAAGAGCUGAAGCAGGAUAAAAUAUUUAUCUAUUAAAGAUAACUUUAUUGCUUUAAUAGAACCAUAUUUCACAUUAAUCACCGAAAAUUUAGUGUCUGAAUUGAGAUGUGUUGUUGGUAGAAAACACACAAGGUUUUGAAGCCACAUGAAAAGUGUGAAAUAUCUUGUUAAUAAUAUUUUAUACUGAUUGAUUCCAUGUUGAACUAAUAAUAUUUGGGACCUACUGGGUUAAAUUAAAAAUAUAAUAUUAAAAUGGCACUCAUUUGUUUCUUUUUACUGUUUUUAGCGUGGCUACUAGAAAAUUUAAAGUGACACAUGUGGCUUGCAUUGUGUAUCUGUUGUCUUAGUGCUGUGACACUGCCUCAGCAUCCAAAUGUACUUCAGAUAUAUAAGCUGAGUUGUAAAUUCAGUAUGGAGAUUCAUCAUUCUUUCAUUUAUCUUCACUGACCACUUCAGAGGAAAAAAAUUGGAGGAGUUUUCUUGGCUAAUCACUGGAAAGUUUAAAGUGGGUUCUGUUCUACAUGUAACUCCUUCCAAAAUUUGUGAAAACCAAGCAAAUAUAAUUAGUUCAUUUCAGAAAAUUUUCUUUUGCUUAAACUUUAAAUACUUCUAGAAAAAUAAGUUUCUAACCAAUAAUUGAGCUU